CAUUUUUGUUUAAUAAUGGAGAAUAGAAGGCCACAAAGCUUUCUCUUCCUAAAAAAUAAUACCGUUGCUGUUUCCCUCUGAAGAUUUUUGCCUUUCAAUUUUUUUUUCUAUGUACCGAAUAUUCAAAAACCACACCAGCUUUGUGUAGGUACUAGGAUCGAAAUAAUGAAUAUUGAUUAUUAUUUAUUGAUUUUAGAUCGAUUCCCAUUUAUUUCAAAUGGGUUUCAUACCUUUCUUGGUUCAAAUACGGCAAUGAAGCACUAAUGAUCAACCAAUGGGAAAAUAUAACUGAAAUAGAUUGUCCAAAUGGGAAUUCUACCUGUCCGCGGGAUGGACAUAUGGUUUUACAAAUUUAUAAUUUUCAUGAAGAAGCUCUACCAAUUGAUAUAAUAUCACUUCUGGCCCUUAUUGUAGGAUUUCGUCUAAUCGCAUAUUUCGGUCUAUUGAGCAAAACAUACAAGUAAUGGACGAAAUAUAUUAUUCAGUGACCUGUGAUUCGUACACUGCCAAUGUUUUCUCUUUAUUGCAACUUAUACGAAUAUUUGUAUUUGUAUGAACUGAAUAGAUAAUAAUUAAAUGCGGUCACGUAUACA